rnacentral:rRNA from 1 species
UACGGAGGGUGCGAGCGUUGUCCGGAAUCACUGGGCGUAAAGGGCGCGUAGGCGGCUUCUCAAGCGUGUGGUGAAAGUCGGGGGCUCAACCCUCGAAUGCCGGUGGAUACUGUCGGGCUAGAGUGCGGAAGAGGCGAGUGGAAUUCCUGGUGUAGCGGUGAAAUGCGCAGAUAUCAGGAGGAACACCUAUUGCGAAGGCAGCUCGCUGGGACGUAACUGACGCUGAGACGCGAAAGCGUGGGGAGCAAACAGG